rnacentral:rRNA from 1 species
UACGUAGGCAGCAAGCGUUGUUCGGAGUUACUGGGCGUAAAGGGUGUGUAGGCGGUUUUCUAAGUCUGGUGUGAAAUCUCCCGGCUCAACUGGGAGGGUGCGCCGAAAACUGGAAGGCUAGAGUGCGGGAUGGGAGAGUGGAGUUCCUGGUGUAGCGGUGAAAUGCGUAGAUAUCAGGAGGAACACCUGUGGUGUAGACGGCUCUCUGGACCGCAACUGACGCUGAGACACGAAAGCGUGGGUAGCAAACAGG